AUGCCUUUCGUGAAGCUCGGAGGGCGGGCCUUCACACCCUGCCUGCCGCCUGCUGGGGCGUGGUCGAUCUGGACCACCCAAUGCCACCUCUCGAGGACCACUGGGACCCCAUCACUGCCCAGAUCCUCGGGAGAACCGCUGGGCAACACCCACCACAACAGGCUGGGCAAAAGUUGGGAUCCACACAGACGCUGCAUUGAAGGUCAAACACAGCGUGCCAGGCUCACACUAGGAAGCCAGACAGGAAAGGCUAAGCUGAUGUCCAGCGCGUGUUUGAAACAGGGCCUCACCUGUAGCCCAUGCUGGCCUGGAACUCAGCUACCUCAGAUUAUAGGUGUGCAUGACCUGAUUCAGAAACUCUUUAGUGCCCAAGAACCUGAUGUUCUGUCAGGCAGUGCCAGAGCAGGAACAACCCUUGAAGUAAACUAAAUGGAGAAACCAAGCCAUAGUGUUUGAAGAGAUGAUUUGAGUGUCACAAAACUAACUGGACUCACUUAGAAGUAAGCUACACCAAGGGUCAGGCCAGCAAGCAGCAGCUUGUGGCUGUGACUGCCGGUCUUUUAUCCCAAUGCUGGUGAUGACUGUCUCAUCCCAUUGGUAGGAGCUUGUCUUCACAAUCAGGUGAUUGGUGCUGAGGAGAAGAGUAAGAUGAAGUUUGGGGAUGAGCAAACAGGCAUGUUACAAGAUGGCAUGGGGUGGCUUCAGGCUAUCUUUGAUAGAAAUAUCAAACCAAACCAAAACAAAGGCCGUUUCUCAUAACAGAAAAGAUUGAUAAUAUUCCUAGAUUACCCUUACUCCUCAAUUGUGGAAUUAGGGCAGGAACUCAGACAUCCUAAGUCUGGUCCAGCCUCUUACAGUAUCCACAGUGAUGUUAGGUUAUAGUACACACAGUGAUGUUAGGUUAUAGUACACACAGUGAUGUUAGGUUACAGUGUACACAGUGAUGUUAGGUUAUAGUGUACACAGUGAUGUUAGGUUACAGUGUACACAGUGAUGUUAGGUUAUAGUACACACAGUGAUGUUAGGUUACAGUGUACACAGUGAUGUUAGGUUACAGUGUACACAGUGAUGUUAGGUUACAGUGUACACAGUGAUGUUAGGUUACAGUACACACAGUGAUGUGAGGUUAUAGUACACAGUGAUGUUAGGUUACAGUGUACACAGUGAUGUUAGGUUACAAUACACACAGUGAUGUUAGGUUAUAGUACACACUGUGAUGUUAGGUUACAGUGUACACAGUGAUGUUAGGUUACAGUGUACACAGUGAUGUUAGGUUACAGUGUACACAGUGAGACAGAGUUAUACUAUAUAGCAUACACCAUGAUGUAUAACUUCACUAACACAGUAGUAAAACAGGAAAGAAAGAAAAGGAAGGGG
rnacentral:lncRNA from 14 species